UACGAAGGGGGCUAGCGUUGCUCGGAAUCACUGGGCGUAAAGGGCGCGUAGGCGGCCAUUCAAGUCGGAGGUGAAAGCCCCAGGGCUCAACCCUGGAAUUGCCUUCGAUACUGUCUGGCUAGAGACCGGAAGAGGUAAGUGGAACUGCGAGUGUAGAGGUGAAAUUCGUAGAUAUUCGCAAGAACACCAGUGGCGAAGGCGGCUUACUGGUCCGGUUCUGACGCUGAGGUGCGAAAGCGUGGGAGCAACAGGG
rnacentral:rRNA from 1 species